AAAGCUAGUUAAUAUAAAGCAAGCAUUUGCAAUCAACCAUGUAAAAUUUGUUUCAAGCACCUGCAAUCAGCCAUACAAACUUUGCAUGAUAUCAAUCACAAUUUUUGAGGUGGUUAAAAGUUCCACGGGUUUCUUUGAGUUUAAAGGCAUUGUUCAUUUUCCGUUUGUGGUCCAAGAUUUCAAAGUAAAAUUUGCAUUCAACGUAUCUCGUAUGGACAAUGGAGUAAUCUUUCACUAAAGAUCGACAGCGAUGGCCAACUGUUCGACUCGAAGUCAUCUUAAUUACCUGUGCAGGUGAUGUCGUGAUAUAUUGAUAUCGUGAAAUAUUGAUAUAAAACGACGCGACAGAAAACUCAUCCCGUUGUUCCUCUUCGAAUGUUUUAACACGAUAAUUUUCUUUCUGAAAGCGUUUGUGGCCGAGGUUCAAAUUUCGCCUUUACCGAUGGUUACAGCGAGCAGAAAGCCCUUUAAGCACGAACUUAGUACAUUAAAAUGUUCGCUGUGACUCAGAUGACACAACUCCCAAAUCAAGACCGAGGCUCAAGGCUCAAAUCUUCAUUGGAGACUCAGAUGUUUAGUUCUUUCUCUCAAGCUGACAAGAACUGUUCAACAUCAUUCGCUUUCUGUUAGUUUCAAAUACUGACGAGUAUUCGUUAUCAUUUCAAAAACCUUUAGAGCUUGUAACUUCAGAAAAACACCUAAUGACAAAUACGUACACGAAUGAGACAUUUACAAUAUCAAGUAAAUUUAAUCACGUAUUACACAGUAGUGAUCGAUAUUAGACUAAUAAAUAUUGCAUAGCCGAGGAAAGCAGCAAAAUGAAUUAUAAACGAAGGAAAGAGUUAUUGACGAGAAUUAUCAUGAUGAAAGUCGACAACAAGAAUCAUGUGAGCUUAAUCGGCGCAGGCAAACAAUAACAAGAGAGAAUUAAGGAACCUGUUUAUAAAAUGUCGAAUUACAGGUUGAAGCAACACGAGAAAGGACUUUUCAGACACGUUAUUGUUUGCAUAUUUUCGCCCUGACGCGCGUAGCCGAGUGUUUUCUCAAAGUACGAUUUAUCAUAUAGUAAUUAAAAUGAAGUUGUUAGA